rnacentral:rRNA from 1 species
AAUUUAUACCGUGAAACUGCGAAUGGCUCAUUAAAUCAGUUAUCGUUUAUUUGAUAGUACCUUACUACUUGGAUAACCGUGGUAAUUCUAGAGCUAAUACAUGCUAAAAGCCCCGACUUCGGAAGGGGUGUAUUUAUUAGAUUAAAAACCAAUGCCCUUCGGGGCUCUUUGGUGAUUCAUAAUAACUUAACGAAUCGCAUGGCCUUGUGCCGGCGAUGGUUCAUUCAAAUUUCUGCCCUAUCAACUUUCGAUGGUAGUAUAUGGGACUACCAUGGUUUCAACGGGUAACGGGGAAUUAGGGUUCUAUUCCGGAGAGGGAGCCUGAGAAACGGCUACCACAUCCAAGGAAGGCAGCAGGCGCGCAAAUUACCCAAUCCCGACACGGGGAGGUAGUGACAAUAAAUACUGAUGCAGGGCUCUUUUGGGUCUUGUAAUUGGAAUGAGUACAAUUUAAAUCCCUUAACGAGGAACAAUUGGAGGGCAAGUCUGGUGCCAGCAGCCGCGGUAAUACCAGCUCCAAUAGCGUAUAUUAAAGUUGUUGCAGUUAAAAAGCUCGUAGUUGAACCUUGGGCCUGGCUGGCCGGUCCGCCUCACCGCGUGCACUGGUCCGGCCGGGUCUUUCCUCCUGGGGAGCCGCAUGCCCUUCACUGGGUGUGUCGGGGAACCAGGACUUUUACUUUGAAAAAAUUAGAGUGUUCAAAGCAGGCCUAUGCUCGAAUACAUUAGCAUGGAAUAAUAGAAUAGGACGUGUGGUUCUAUUUUGUUGGUUUCUCGGACCGCCGUAAUGAUUAAUAGGGAUGGUCGGGGGCAUCAGUAUUCAAUUGUCAGAGGUGAAAUUUUUGGAUUUAUUGAAGACUAACUACUGCGAAAGCAUUUGCCAAGGAUGUUUUCAUUAAUCAGGGAACGAA